rnacentral:rRNA from 1 species
CCUACGGGAGGCAGCAGUGAGGAAUAUUGGUCAAUGGACGAGAGUCUGAACCAGCCACGUCGCGUGAAGGAUGACUGCUCUAUGGGUUGUAAACUUCUUUUAUAAAGGAAUAAAACGCGGCACGUGUGCCUUUUUGCAUGUCCUUUAUGAAUAAGGAUCGGCUAACUCCGUGCCAGCAGCCGCGGUAAUACGGAGGAUCCGAGCGUUAUCCGGAUUUCUUGGGUUUAAAGGGAGCGUAGAUGGGUUGUUAAGUCAGUUGUGAAAGUUUGCGGCUCAACCGUAAAAUUGCAAUUGAUACUGGCAGUCUUGAGUACAGUUGAGGUAGGCGGAAUUCAUGGUGUAGCGGUGAAAUGCUUAGAGAUCACGAAGAACCCCGAUUGCGAAGGCAGCUUACUAAGCUGUGACUGACAUUGAGGCUCGAAAGUGUGGGUAGCAAACAGGAUUAGAUACCCCAGUAGUC